GAAUUUUUAGUUUAAAUUAUAAAAUAUUUAGUUGUGGUCUAAGUGAUUAAAAAUUUU
rnacentral:tRNA from 1 species